GAGGCUGUGGCUCAGUGGAAGAGUGCUCGCCUAGCAUGUGUGAGGCACUGUGUUCGAUCUUCAGCAUUACA
rnacentral:tRNA from 1 species